rnacentral:rRNA from 1 species
UCUGCUGUGGGCGCACGAAACUUGAGGGGUAUUCUCUUUAGUACGAGAGGAUUUGGAGGGACGUACCUCUGGUGUUCCUGUUGUCACGCCAGUGGCAGCGCAGGGUAGCUAUGUACGGUUGUGAUAAGCGCUGAAAGCAUCUAAGCGCGAAGCCAUCCCCGAGAUUAGGUUUCGUUGGACUUCGGUCCUGAACUCCCCUGGAAGACUACCAGGUUGAUAGGCUGGCUGUGUAAGGCGUGCAAACGCUUAAGCUGACCAGUACUAACGGAGGAAUGCUUGACCAC